GAUGAACGUUGGCGGUGUGCCUAAUACAUGCAAGUCGAACGGAGACUGUAGCAAUACUGUCUUAGUGGCGAACGGGUGAGUAACGCGUUGGUGAUCUGCCUCGAAGUGUGGAAUAACCUCCCGAAAGGGAAGCUAAUACCGCAUAGUCUCUCAAGGUUUAGAAAAUUGAGAGUAAAGGAUUUAUUCGCUUCGAGAGGAGCCUGCGUCCCAUCAGCUAGUUGGUAGGGUAACGGCCUACCAAGGCAAUGACGGGUAGGGGACCUGAGAGGGUGGCCCCCCACAAUGGAACUGAAACACGGUCCAUACACCUACGGGUGGCAGCAGUAGGGAAUAUUAGAAAUGGGCGGAAGCCUGAUCUAGCAACACCGCGUGUGCGAUGAAGGCCUUCGGGUCGUAAAGCACUUUUUGGUAGGGAAGUAGGAAGGAAGGUACCGUCCAGAAUAAGUACUCGGCUAACUAACGUUGCCACAGCCGCGGUAACGACGAGAGGUA
rnacentral:rRNA from 1 species